rnacentral:rRNA from 1 species
CCUACGGGCGGCUGCAGUGGGGAAUAUUGGACAAUGGGGGGAACCCUGAUCCAGCCAUGCCGCGUGUGUGAAGAAGGCCCUCGGGUUGUAAAGCACUUUCAGUGAGGAAGAACGCCUGGUGGUUAAUACCCAUCAGGAAAGACAUCACUCACAGAAGAAGCACCGGCUAACUCCGUGCCAGCAGCCGCGGUAAUACGGAGGGUGCGAGCGUUAAUCGGAAUUACUGGGCGUAAAGCGCGCGUAGGUGGCUUGAUAAGCCGGUUGUGAAAGCCCCGGGCUCAACCUGGGAACGGCAUCCGGAACUGUCAAGCUAGAGUGCAGGAGAGGAAGGUAGAAUUCCCGGUGUAGCGGUGAAAUGCGUAGAGAUCGGGAGGAAUACCAGUGGCGAAGGCGGCCUUCUGGACUGACACUGACACUGAGGUGCGAAAGCGUGGGUAGCAAACAGGAUUAGAGACCCGGGUAGUC